CAGUCGCCGCGGUAAUACGGAGGGUGCAAGCGUUAAUCGGAAUUACUGGGCGUAAAGCGCACGCGGGCGGUUUGUUAAGUCAGAUGUGAAAUCCCCGAGCUUAACUUGGGAACUGCAUUUGAAACUGGCAAGCUAGAGUCUUGUAGAGGGGGGUAGAAUUCCAGGUGUAGCGGUGAAAUGCGUAGAGAUCUGGAGGAAUACCGGUGGCGAAGGCGGCCCCCUGGACAAAGACUGACGCUCAGGUGCGAAAGCGUGGGGAGCAAACAGGAUUAGAUACCCGAGUAGUCCCUGUCUCUUAUAA
rnacentral:rRNA from 1 species